rnacentral:tRNA from 1 species
GGGAUGUGGUUCAAAGGUAGAGUGCUCGCUUAGCGUGCGUAAGGUCCUGGGUUCAAUCUCCAGUCCUG